rnacentral:lncRNA from 1 species
GUACAUGUUACACUAGUUAAGAGUUUAACUUUAGUCUCUAAUUUGAGUUUAGCCUAGAUAAUUAAUUUAUUGAUGUCGUACUGAUCCUUGUGUUUGUAUGAUUAUAGAGACCGUACUGGAGUAUUUGUGCCGCCUGAUAUUUGGGACUACACACCAAUCUCUCUGGCUGACCUACCUACCUUUUUUGCAAUUAAAUCUGUUUGGUCAAAAAAAAAACAUGCUGGCCGAAGAAACUGAGAUGCUUACUUAUGAGGGCAUAAACUAACUUGGAAAGUCCUGAAGAUGCAGUGCUGUCUAAUGCCGCUAUUUCUGUA